GAGCCAUGACUGAGCAGUUACACUCAGAGGUUAGCACCUUUUCUGCCCUCUCUGUGGGAUAAACGACAUUACUACACGAUGGUACAUCAUCCUGCCCCAGGGUUUACUCCAGUUUUGUGUCAACCUUGCAACAACUAGUUAUGUCACCAUGAUAAGUGGCAGUAGACAGACGGGAAACGCAGCAGAGAGAGGGGAUGAUCUGCAGCAAAAGGCCCAAACUGGAAUCGAACCUUGGCCAGCGUGACAUGUGGUGCAUGUACUACCAGGAGGAUGUUAGUCCUGUCAGUCCUCUCUUCUGACCUGCCAGUGGUUCAGAUGGACUUAAUCAACUACUUUGCUGUCCUACCAGUCUACCUGUCUGAUCAGAAACCAGUCUUGUCAAGGAUAAAUAGAGGUAAGUGGUUGCACAGUUCAGUGUGUGUUGAUUUAAUCAACAGAAUGCUUUAGAUGAAUCUGCUUUUGUAAGCACUGUGUAGCCAUUUCAUGUUCAAUUUCUGUAUUUGUUGAUGUUUAGAACUGCAGAAAUCCAGGACCUAAAUGAUAUGAUUAACAUCUUGCCAGCGUCAGCCCUUUGGGUCCAGUUGUCCUGGACCUUUUCAAUAUUUGACAAAUUUUCUAUCACCUAACAAAUUAUUGUUAUUUUAUUCCUUAAUGGAGACUUAGCUGGGACC